rnacentral:rRNA from 1 species
GAACGCCGUAGCAAUACGGAGUGGCAGACGGGUGAGUAACACGUGGGAACGUGCCUUUUGGUUCGGAACAACACAGGGAAACUUGUGCUAAUACCGAAUAAGCCCUUACGGGGAAAGAUUUAUCGCCAAAAGAUCGGCCCGCGUCUGAUUAGCUAGUUGGUGGGGUAACGGCCCACCAAGGCUACGAUCAGUAGCUGGUCUGAGAGGAUGAUCAGCCACACUGGGACUGAGACACGGCCCAGACUCCUACGGGAGGCAGCAGUUAGGAAUCUUGGACAAUGGGCGCAAGCCUGAUCCAGCCAUGCCGCGUGAGUGAUGAAGGCCUUAGGGUUGUAAAGCUCUUUCAGCGGGGAAGAUAAUGACGGUACCCGCAGAAGAAGCCCCGGCUAACUUCGUG